UAGUUCAGCACUAAGUCACUUUGUCUUUAUGGCAAAUGUGAGAUGCAGUGUAUGGAACAUCUUAAAUCUAGUAUGAGAAAUUAACGAUUUAAGUCCUUCUUAAAUGAGGCCAUUUACCCAUAGAGGGUGCCAGGCCCGUAUAACGUUAAUGAUUACUAGAAGAUGUUUCCAAAGAGUCGUGUUGCUUGAUAGUGCAGCACUAAGUGGGUGGUAAACUCCAUCUAAAACUAAAUAUAACCAUGAGACCGAUAGUAAACAAGUACCGUGAGGGAAAGUUGAAAAGAACUCUGAAUAGAGAGUUAAAUAGUACGUGAAACUGCUUAGAGGUUAAGCCCGAUGAACCUGAAUAUCCAUUAUGGAAAAUUCAUCAUUAUGAUUGUAAUAUUUAAACAAUAUUAUGAGAAUAGUGUGCAUUUUUUCCAUAUAAGGACAUUGUAAUCUAUUAACAUGGCUAUUUAUCAAAAGAUCAUUUGCUUAUGUUUAUUCCAAUUAGUUUGCUUGCAAGUUAACACAGAAUAAAUGCUUAUGAUUUGAUAAAGUGUUGAUAGAUUUUAUUAUAUAUAGUGCUUAAAUUCAUUGAAUUUUAUAAUGGCAUUGGAAUCAUUGAUUUCAGUGUUUAUUAUAUGCGCUUAUAUGAUUGACAAUGCG
rnacentral:rRNA from 1 species